CACGUAGGGUGCGAGCGUUGUCCGGAAUUAUUGGGCGUAAAGAGCUCGUAGGCGGUGUGUCGCGUCGGCCGUGAAAACCUGCAGCUUAACUGUGGGCUUGCGGUCGAUACGGGCAUCACUGGAGUUCGGCAGGGGAGACUGGAAUUCCUGGUGUAGCGGUGAAAUGCGCAGAUAUCAGGAAGAACACCCGUGGCGAAGGCGGCUCUCUGGUACGUGACUGACGCUGAGACGCGAAAGCGUGGGGAGCAAACAGG
rnacentral:rRNA from 1 species